ACACCUGGAGGAGGAAGACAGGGAAGAGCUGUCAGGUGUCACUGCUGCUCCUCUUUGCCCCCGGUGUAGUGCUGAAAAUGUAGUGCUGAAGCCAGGCUGGUCACCCCCUUUCUGUUCCUUCUGCAGGACUUAUCACUGAACUCAGCUGUUUUCCCCAGGUAUGUGCUGGAGUUAUGAUGUCCAAUUUCUUGCCCAAGGUGCAUCUGCUGUCUCUAGUCCAAGAUGAGAGAUGCUUUCCUCCCACCAUCCGACUGCAGUAGCACAGACUUUAAUGGGCUGAAGAGAUGCAGAGCUGAGGGAAUGAGCCACAUGCAGAGAAGACACAGAAAACAUGGCCUGCUGCUCCUUGUGCUCUAUCUGCACUGGGAUAAACAGCCUGGAUUAGGCUGGGAGCUGGGAGCUGGUGCUGCGCAUGCCCCCCAGCUCCUGGUGCCUCUCCCCCUCUCCCUUGGAGCCCCCAGAGAAGCUCCCCAGCCACCUGCCUGACCCACCAAGGCUGCCUUUGCUGUGCUCUCCUCACGCAUGGCUGGAUAAGCUGACCUCAUGUAUGAUUUUUCCCCCCCCCUCCCCUCCCCGUCCUUAAUUCUAGCAAACCCCGCUCAGAGGCUCAGCAUAAGCUGGAUGAACGAUCUCUCUCCCCAUCUUACAAUCCUGCCCUGUCUCUGACCAAGCAGAGGAGGGAAUUUUGCAGUUUCUAAAAGGGAGGAAGGAAGAAAACGUGUUCUAGGGGGCAGAGGCAGACACACUCAGCAUGCUCCACUUGCAACUGUGUUUUAGUGAGAGCUGGAGAUGCCGUGUCACGGCUGAAAGCAUUAACAGCCUCCAAGCAUUGGUGCUCUGGGAGCAAGUCACAAAUCCAAGCAUCCAGGGGGAGGAAGUGGCUUUGGCUGGUACCUACACAGGAGGGAGGCUGAAUUUCAGAUGCUCCGUGUCCCCUCUGCCUCUGGUGAGGAAGGAUUUUGGCUGAGCUGUCCCAGCCCUGUGGCAGAGGUGAUGCCCAGCCCCAGAGUGCUGCAGAGCCUGGCUCUGAAUUAUUCAGUGUCCACACAGCGUGGCCUCCUUCUCUCACUUCAGAACGAGCAGACGAGAGCAAAGCAGGCAAGAGAGUGGGUUAAAGCAGGUCAAAGCCUCACUGCUGCUGCUCUGGGCCCAGCCUGAACAGAGCAACAGCUUCUGGGAGCUGCAGCUCUCCUCUCUCCUCCCUCCUCCUGUGGUGGGAGCGAGGGGAUGGGACCAGCUCCAGGGCACAGCAUCACAAUCCAGCUGAAGGCAAGUUUAAGAGCCCCAGGGGAGUGGGUACGAGGAAUGCAGGGACUGUCAUGCCCCUUGUUGUCCCUGAAGGUUGGGAUGACGUGGAGGGUAGUGCUUGGCUCCAGUCCUUGACCCUGCAAGUCUCACAGUGGGAACAGCAGCCCUGGGGGGCCACCACCUGGUCUCUGAGGUGGCCUGGGAAAGCCUCAAUAACCCCCUCCACACAUAGCACAUCGUUGCUCCUGGCAUCCCCCACCAAGAGCCAAGCAGAUGUUUUGAGGUGCUUCUGGCUCCAAGCUGCUGCAGUGCAGGAGGGCGAGACCUGUUAAUUUGGCUGCAGCUACAAAACCUUCACCAAGCAGUGGGACCCAGACUUCUUGCUCUAGGGAAAACAAGAGCAGUCAGAUGUGUCUGCUCAUACACACACACUGCUCACUUGCUGCUGAGGUGGGCUGGGAGCUGAGCACCAGCUCCUGGGACAGCCCCAGCUGCCUCCUGCCCUGGCCAGUGGGAUGGAGAUGGGGUGGGUGCUCAAGGACGUCCCCCAGCCACUGCAUGUAGGUGUGAUGGAGCUCUGCUCUUCCCAGAGAAGAUCCUCACUUCCUAAUUGGUGUAAACAAGGAAAACUAAGUAAAGAGAAAGCAGAGGCAGACAUUCACCUUGCCUGCCUGGGCCCAGGUCACUGAUUUUUCUCACUUGCCCUUUGCCACCGUGCAGAAGUUUUUUUAUCCAAAGGAUCAAUUUUACCAGGGAAUUGCUUUCUGAAUUUGACCUUUGAGGAUCAUCAAUCUAAGCAGGGAACUGUAACCCCAGCAGGCUGACCCCUCAGCACAGCACUUUUCAGCCCAAUCAAUCAGGCUGCAUUAUUUAAUGGCCAACAGCCGAGCACUGUUAGCCAGCCCUGAUUGCCAGCCCUGUUUUGGGGAGAAGGUUUUUGCAUCCCAGCCUUCCUGCUGCUUGGGCUCAGAGGCUCAUCUUCAACCCCUUCUUCAGGCUUCUCUGCCUCCUUCUCUGGGCCUGCAGCCCAAGGACAUGUGCUUGUUGAUGGUCUGUGCACAGCCAAGACUCAGCUGGCAGAGACUGGAGUAAAUGGCAUUAGCCCAGUCCCCUGGGUGGGAGCUGCUAGUCCUGCCUGCCUCUGCCCGUCUUCCUCGGCGGCCAGCCACGGCAGGAAGGAGAGGAUGAAGGGAAAGGUUAGGAGCUACUUAGCAGUGAGGCUUAAAUAGCAGGCUCGGGGCAGACACCUGCGCCGUGUCCUGCAGCGAUGGCCCCGCUCCAGCCCCGGGGCUGCUCCAGCAAAGUGCUGGUUGCAAUAUGGUCUCUCUGGCUCUGGAGGGCUGAAGAGCCAGGAGUGUUUCUCCUCCAGCUUGUGGGUCAAGGCACACACUGACAGUGCUGUUUCUCAGUGAGCAUUCAGAGCCCAUGGUGGGGAAGAGCCCGAGGAGAGCAGCCCCAGAGCACACCUGUGAGCAGCACCCAUGGCCUGGGGACACCCAUCCUGCACUGGGUAGCAGGUCACACAACUGCAUUGUGCAUUAAACAGAGACUGGCUCACACUGUUCCCAGCAAGGGAGGCUGGGGCACUGUGUGGCCCAGGACGUUACAGUUUGCACAAUGGGGUAUUUAGGAGCUUAUUUUAGUGCAGUUGUUCAGCUGCUGCCUUUCCUCAGAGUGGUGCAGUGCGAUCUGAUGCUGCCAAUGCCUCCACCAGGGAACAUCACGGAGCUUGGAGCGCCAAGGAAAGUUUACAGGAAAGUGUCCUUCUUUUUUUUCUUUUCUUUUCUUUUUUUUUCCAGCCAUAAAGAACAGUUUCCUGCAUUUCUCCAAGUCAGCAUCCUGGAGGUCACAGCAGUGAGCGGCUGGAGAGGUGUCUGGUGCCAAGCCCACGUGUGAGGGAAGGAGAUGCCCAUGCAGAGGAAGGGGAGACAGCUUUGCUGGAGAAGCCAAGAUCAGCUGGAGGGUCUCCAACAACUUCAACAGAGCCAGAAGGAGGAAUGUCCAAGCAGGGCAAAGCAGCCCACAUGCUGCCAGGAUGCACUUUGCUCUGGCACCCCUGGAUUGAACUGAGGUACAACUGCAGGGGAAGUGCAUUGAGCUGCUUCAAUGUGCUGGCCAGGAGGGCAGAGCAGGAGACAGUGAGCAGGCCAAGCAGAAACUGCUUCACCUUUAACAGCAAUGCAGCAUCGAGCACAACUGACCAACAUCUCAAAACUGACCAUGAAUGCAGAAAAAUACAUCCGUUGCAUGUGGGUACCACUGACAAUCAACCAGCUCCAUUUAUUGCAGGAGGUGCUUUUGGAGAUGGCCUUGAUCCUCCAGGUCUGGUGUCCCUGAUCCUGGCUGUUGGAAGACUGUGCAAAGUUGGUCUGCUCCACUAGCACAAACUCUCCAAGUCACACUCCUGAAGAGGCACCAAGAGCACACAAGAGGAAAGAAGGAAAAGAAGGAGGGGAGCACAAAGGGCCUUUCCCUUCAAUUCUUUUGUGUAACCAAAGCAGCAGCCAAGGAAACCAUCAGAAAAGCAAGAAAAGAGGAAAGGAAAUGCUGCUACAAAACUGGAAACCUCAUCUUGUUGGUCCCUCUUGGGCCUGAGUGCAGCCUGAGAGGAGGCACUGUUCCAUGGAGCUGCUCAGGGAUGAGGAACACUCCCUCCUCCUGCCUUCCUCCAGGGACUGCUCAUCACCAGCAGGCUGGACAGACAGACAGACAGUGCAUGCAUUGGGGCAGGGGAGGAUAAAGGAGAGAAAUCCUAAUAUAAAUCAGCCUAAAAUUGAUUCGCUUCUGCUCAAUGUGAUUUCUCCUAACUGGAUCCACAUGUCCCGGCCAUGGCACAUUAACUUCAAUUACAGCUUAUUAAUGUCUCCGUGAUGGAGCUUGGCCUGCUGAGCACGGCGGUGACUGACGUUAUGGAGGGGAAAAAAUUACUCCAAAGAGACUCAGCGUGUAAUGGAAAGAGAAGCAGCGGCUUUCAUCGCGCCGGCCCCGGCAGCCGGGGAAAGCUCAUUCACCCGUUCCUGAGGAGAUGACUGAGCUUGUUGCUGCACCGAGGAGAAAAUCAAGCAAUGGACAGAGAUCUGUGGGGAAAGUCUUCCCGCUUCCCUUCCCCACCCUGCCUGGCACACACACACACGGCACACAGGCCAAGGGCUCGCUCGCGUCUAUUCCUGUCCUGACUCUUCUGCGUCUCCAGUUACUCCGCGGAUCAAUAGGGACAGGAUGGUAGAAGAAAGGAAAAAAAAAAAGAAAAGAAAAAGAUACCAAGAAGAAAGAGAGUAAAAAUAAACUGUCAGCCAUGAACGGAGCAAUGGACCCGGCUGAGGCUGUGGGAGGAGGAGAUGCAGAGGAGACCCUGAAGCACCAGCCCAUUGCACCAGCUCCCAGGGAAGAAGCAGUGACCCCCUGGAGUCACCAGAUCCUCUGUCAAACUCUGGACCACCCCAGUCCAUCUGGCUUCUGGGAGAAGGCAGAGAAUUCAUUCCCCUUGUCACCGUGUCCUUUGCUCCAUCUCUUUCUGCUUUUCCCUAAAGCUCUGGGAGACUGUGGUGAGGGGUCUUUUGUGGUGGGAGGCUGAGGUGUGAAGGAAGGGGUGGGCUUGGAUGGGGGCCCAGGAGCACAUGGAGUGAGGGGAUCACAGAAACCUCUCUGAACCCACCUGCCAAGGCUGCAGCAGGAGAAACUGCCCCGGCUCAUGGUCUGCUCUGAGGGCAAAGUGUUUUACUCUUCCCUUGACUGUGAACAUCAACUAGAAACGAGCUGCCAAGUGUCUCAUCACCCCGUGGGCACUGCCAGCUGCUGCCAAAAUCCCGGUGCUGUGCAGGGACAGAGGCAAUGCCAUGCUCUGACAGCAUACACUGCUCCUCCAAUGCCACACACCAUGGCUGGGCAUGGCUCCUCCAGCCUCCCAGGGCUGCUCACACCUCUGCUCUGCAGGUGGAAUUUUCUGGCUGCUUUUUACCUCUGAGCCCUCAUUUUUUCAUAAUCAUCUUCCCUCUUGAUUCCAUGCCCCCUGCAGUGGAUCCCUAACACCACUCCAAUUUUAUCUACGAACUUUCCUUCUGUUCCUCAAACACAGUCGUUCCCACAUGCUGGAAGUGGCAGUGUGUGUCCAUCCCCAUCCCUGCCUACCCUUCCUCCCCCCUUCCCUGCACAGGGCUCCUGUCAGGCUCACAUUGAUUUCUCCUCUCUUCCUCUCAAUAACCCAUCCCUUGUUGAGCCAUACACAAGAUUUAAUUUGGUUUUAGUCCCUGCACUGUAACUGGCUUUGCUUACAGCUGGAAUUAGAUUGCUUUUCAGUGAGAAACCUGCUUGCUGGGACUGGAAUAAUCACAGGAGCAGAGUUAAUUCACAUGAGGCUUCUCCAUCUUAUACACCACUUAUCCACAGUUCCUCAGCUGGUCACCUUUUCCUGUCCUGUGCCCACCGGGGCUGGAAGAGUCAGCACAGGACAGGCAUCGACCUUUUCCCUGUCCAAGCUGUGUCCCCCUCUCCUGGGAACCAUCCCAGCAAGCUGGGAGAGCUGGAGCAGUGCAAAGCUGGGUCUUGCUGCAGCUCAAGACUUGGGAGUUUGGGCUGAAAAAAAACAGAUUUCAUAGUUUUCUGUGUUCCCAGCCAAGGAAAAGCCCUGUCCUCCCAGAGGCCCUGCUGCAUGAGAGGAGUGGGUCAGGCAGCUCGUGGUGAGUGGAGCCAAGAGGGAAGUGGAGGCGAGCGGGAGCCGCUGCUCUGCAGCAGCCGUGGGCAGCCGGCCACGCCGGCACAGAGCCAGUGCCAGGGGGAGGCUGCCAGGAACCAGCCAACAAACCCCAACCUGUCUCAUCCUGGCCCCAGCUAAAAAGCAGCAUUGCAGCUUCCACCGGGCGUUCACAGCCCGGCCCUCCCUUGCCAGCCCUGUCCUUGGGGUGCAGGUGGCUGUGGAAUCUUGGAUGUCUCAGAGAGGUUGUGACACGCCCCCCCCUCCCUCCCCACCCCAGCCAUGGGUGUUUGAAAGGGUUUCCCUCCCCCCGCCCUAGUUCUUUUCGCAGAAUUUUUUUGGAUUUUAACCUCUUGAACCGAUGGCUGCUACUAUUAAAUGGUGUUAA